rnacentral:ncRNA from 1 species
UUACGCCGAAGCCCGGCGACCUUCAUCCUACAUGGAUAUGGUUGACGGGCCGCGACCCGGAACUGAGGAAUCCGCCUCAACUCUGUAGGUUCGCCGGGUUCGUUGGGAAACUGACGGGCCUCCCGCGCUUGGAAAGGUGUACC